rnacentral:rRNA from 1 species
AUUGAACGCUGGCGGCAGGCCUAACACAUGCAAGUCGAGCGAGCGGCGGACGGGUGAGUAAUGUAUGGGGACUGCCUGAUAGAGGGGGAUAACUGCUGUAAACGGUGGCGAAUACCGCAUACUAUGGGAUAAACCAUGUGGGAUUAGCUAGUAGGUGGGGUAAAGGAUCACCUAGGCGACGAUCCGUAGCUGGGCUGUGAGGAUGAACAGCCACACUGGGACUGAGCCACGGCCCAGACUCCGACGGAGGCAGCAGUGGGGAAUAUUCCACUAUGGGCGCAAGCCUGAUGCAGCCAUGCCGCGUGUAUGAAGAAGGCCUGAGGGUUGUAAAGUACUUUCAGCGGGGAAGCGUUACCCGCAGAAGAAGCACCGGCUAACUCCGUGCCAGCAGCCGCGGUAAUUC